AAUGGGCGAAAGCCUGAUGCAGCCAUGCCGCGUGUGUGAAGAAGGCCUUAGGGUUGUAAAGCACUUUCAGUAAGGAAGAAAAAGCUGGGUUAAUACCCCAGUCAUAUGACAUUACUUACAGAAGAAGCACCGGCUAACUCCGUGCCAGCAGCCGCGGUAAUACGGAGGGUGCGAACGUUAAUCGGAAUUACUGGGCGUAAAGUGCGCGUAGGCGGUUUAUUAAGUGGGAUGUGAAAGCCCGGGGCUCAACCUCGGAACUGCAUUCCAAACUGACAAACUAGAGUACGAGAGAGGGGGGUAGAAUUCAGAGUGUAGCGGUGAAAUGCGUAGAUAUUCUGAGGAAUACCGGUGGCGAAGGCGGCCCCCUGGCUUGAUACUGACGCUCAGGUGCGAAAGCGUGGGGAGCAAACAGGAUU
rnacentral:rRNA from 1 species